rnacentral:rRNA from 1 species
UACGGAGGGUGCAAGCGUUAAUCGGAAUUACUGGGCGUAAAGCGUGCGCAGGCGGUUUGUUAAGUCCGGUGUGAAAUCCCCGAGCUCAACUUGGGAAUUGCAGUGGAUACUGGCAAGCUGGAGUAUGGUAGAGGAAGGUGGAAUUCCCGGUGUAGCGGUGAAAUGCGCAGAUAUCGGGAAGAACACCCGUGGCAAAGGCGGCUCUCUGGGACGGUACUGACGCUGAGACGCGAAAGCGUGGGGAGCGAACAGG